UCGGAACCGACCUCAGCAAGGUGCUGAUGGCGACCUUCAUCCACUGCCUGGUGACAAAAUACAGGUGCAGUUCGUAACUUGUACACAUAUGGACAUUGCUUCACUAUAAGAACUACAAAGGUGAGAUCGGCCUUUACUAACCUUGAAGUUCGUCAUUUCAGAUGGAAGACGGUAAAAGGAGGUAACACAAUGCGUACCCCAGGACUGAGCUUCCCAGAUGGCUUUCACAUUCAGCUCUUCCCUAAGAAAUGACAUCACAUGUCUGUCGGCUCAAUCUGGCUGUGCGAAGCAAAAAAAAAAUCAAGAAAUAACUAUGUAAAUGUGGUAUAUGUAGAUUGUAAAGCACUCUGUAUACCUUGAGGUCGUUUUAGGGCACCUUUUAUGCUCAUUGUUACUCUGGUAGCAGUAUUGUAGUCACACCACAGAAAUAUUAGUCCUCUAGUCCAAGCAAGAGGUAAUUAUUUUUUAGGGGGUGCGUGUAUGAAUUAGGUAACAUUGUCAUUGUUAUAAUCACGCAAGGCCAGUUCCAAAAUGCAGUUCGGCGCUGUCCUUUGCAACACUCCACCACACAACCCAAGCAAAAGGUAAUUGUUGGUUGUUUCCCAUGAGGGUAAUUCGUCGUCCACAUGGUCUACGUGUCUACUCAUAUGUUAUUUAUCUCUUAUAUUUGCAUCAUUAUUGCAAAUGAAAGUGAAUAGUCUUAUGUGUGCUCGUACUUGUACAUGAUUCUCAGCAUCUACUUGUUUUUUUUUUUUGGAAAACACUGAAUACAACGUUUCAUUUUGUUGAAAAGCAUUUUACGUUCUGAGCUAUUCUAUUUCAUAAUCAAACAUUACCAUUAGAAUAUUCAUUAAAAGAUAAAAUAUCAUUGACAAAACAAUAAAAAGGAAAACUCUAAAAUACUAGAAAAUAAAGAAAUGAACAAAACAAUUUGGGUACGGUGUAUGCAUAUACCAUAACGUGAAACACUCACACAAGUGAAAAUGUUCAAGGUCGAUAGAAUCACAAUCAAGUUAAUAGAUACAUCAUCUAAUAAUUCGUCAAGGUGAGAUGGAGAUAAACAUCAAACAUGAUUUAACUAAUCCACCAACGGACUAAACCAUGUUUGGUUCUCACUUUUGGCAUCUAAUACGAACUCCCUCAAUUCUAAAUUACUAAAAUUAUAGCAUUGUCAUAAGUGAAACUUAGUUAAUUUCCAUCAACUAUAUAGAAAAAUAUACUACUCCUUCGGUCCCAAAGUGAGUGUUGUUGAUUACAACUUCGUACUCACUCCAUUUACUUGUAUAAGGAUACAAUUCCAAAUUAUAAAUAUCAAAGUAAAAGUUAAUGUCAGUUUUAUAAACUAGCUAGUCUCUCGGUUAAUAAGAGCAACUCCAACAGCGGUGUCAAAAAAAUCCGCACGUGCGGGACGGAAACACACGCUCCAGCGAAGGCGGGAAAUUAGCGCGCGCUGCAAAUGUUUAAGCGCGGGGGAGAAAGCGGGCGGCCGCACGCUAGAUUUGGCGCACCGUUUUCGGCGCGCCUAUAAAAUCCGGCGCUCGCCACACAGCUGCCCAUCGCCCUCAACACUGCCACGCGCGCUCUGCCGCUUCCUCGCCACUGCCUGUACCACACCGCCACCGACGCGCCCCCACCGAGCCACCAUGCCGCCGCGCCGCCGUGGAUCUCCGGGCUAUCGCGGCAUCCGCGAGCGCCCCUCCGGCGCCUACUACGUCGAGAUCCGGUCCGGCGACGUUCGCCUCGGCCUCGGAAUGUUCGAGACCUCGCACGAGGCCGCCCCGCACGUACGACGCGGAGGCGUGCCACCUAAGGAGGCCUCGCGCGCAGAUGAAUUUCCACGACGUCUACACGCGCGAGCAGGCGCAGGACCUCGCCCCUCCGCCUUGUUUGAUAACAUACCAGGACCGUGAGGGCCACCGUCGGCGGUAGCGCCGCCUCCUCGUCGCCGAGGAGGACGAGCGAGCCAUGGCGGAGUGGCGCUGGCGCCACCCGCAGGACGUCGCCAUCGAGAACGCCUUCUGGGCGAAGAGGACGGCAAGGCGCCGCGAGGAGCGGGAUGACGGGCGUCGGCGCAAGGCACUAGCCAUAUCACAGUGCGAGGUCGUCAACAACGAUGGGACGUCGUUCUUCGGGAGUGACGAUGAACGUUGGGAUGAUAUUUGGCUCGAUACCUCGGACAUAGAGGAGGAGGAUGAGGAGGACGAGGACGACAGCGAGAAGGUUCUAGUAGUUGCACCGUCAUUUUUAUCUAGUUGAACCGUACUCUUUUAUCUGUCUAUGCGAUGUAUCGUUUUAUCUAUGUAUUAUGAAAUAUCUAUGUAUAGUUUUAUCAAUCUAUCUAUGAAAUAUCUAUGUAUAUUUAUGUAUUGUGCGAGUAUUUAUGUAUUGUGCGAGAGCACGCGCUGCUGCAUUUUAGCGCGUCUGCUGGAGCUAGGCGCGCGCUGCAUUUUACAGCGCUAGAGCCAGCGUUGGCCGCCGCGCCAAAACAAGCGAACGGCGCGCCGCAAACUCAUUUUUAACGCGUCGUGCGUUGGGCGGCUGUUGGAGAUGCUCUAAGGCACAUUCAAAUGUGAGGAAAUUGAGUGGAUGAAAGUAGUUGAGAGUGUCAUUAUCAUCUAGUGCAUGCAUGCAAACAAGUAGUUAAACCAUGUGUUGCUAGUACUCCCUCUGUCGAAAAAUACUUGUCAUAAGAAUGAAUGUACCCAGAUGUAAUUUAGUUUUAGAUACAUCAUUUUUUAUUAAUUUGUGCGAUAAGUAAUUUCGAACGGAGGAAGUACGAGGCAAGGUUAAUUUUUUUUACCUCAAUUAGCGUUGAUGAUCUUGUAUAGCUGUAAAAUGUAUUUUUUAUAGAAGCAUUGCAUACAAAAAUGAAAGAGAUGCUAAAUUUACACUAAAUGAGCGAUACUUAUUUCGGCACGGAGGAAGUAAUAAAUAACACAUCAAAUUCAUAUUGUAGGGAAUAUAUUUCAUUAUGAAUAUAAUGAUAUUAAUUUGAUGUUGUAGGUUUUGAUAUAUUCUUGAUCAAAACUAGGUUUCCCUUUAACUUAGAACAAAAUUAUAACUUCAAUUAAUUCGGGACUGACAUAACACACAGUUAGAAUCUGACCGGGUCCUCCAUCAUUUCUCUGUUGAAAUUUCGAACUGCUGGGCCUGGGCACACGGAUUUCUCCCUUCCAAAACUCCUAAAACCAGCCAAAUCUCCUGAAUCGAGAGGCGCGCUACCGUUGGCUAAAGAUCGCAUGUGAGAUGUAUCUCUCCGAAAUCACUUAAUGGCCGGUGCUAAUUGAAAGACUGACCUUACUGGCUGCGUCCAGAUUCACUUCGGGCAUCUCCGUGAUUCCAUGAGGAAGAACACUUCGAGUUGGUUUGCGGCGGGGCCAACGCGGCGGCCGCCGACCUUGCCACGCUCGGCCAUUCUCCUGGGCGCUCGACGAGCUCGUGGGCCAUGACUUGGGCUGCUU
rnacentral:lncRNA from 1 species